rnacentral:lncRNA from 10 species
GAGCAGUGUCAUGAUCUCAGCUUACUGCGACCUCUGCCUCCUAAGCAACUAGGACCACGGGUGCGCGCCACCAAGCCCAGCUAAUUUUCUGUAUUUUGGGUAGAGAUGAGUUUCACCAUGUUGCCCAGGCUGGUCUCAAACUCCUGAGCUCAAGCUAUCCACACACCUCGGCCUCCCAAAGUGCUGGGAUUACAGGUCUGAGUUACUGUACCCAGCUUCUAGCAAUAUCUUUUAAGAUCUCCAUUGUGAUUCCCUCAACAUCCUACUACUACCUGAACACAUACUUCUGUUCCCUUCUCACAAAGAGAAUUUGACUUAUUGGGGAAGUGUCUUAAACCUGGGAGCACUCCAACCCACAGAAAAUAUUCUCAGACCUCAAGGGGUCCUUGAACCCUAGUCAGAGAAUCAAGCAUCUGUGAUGGACCAAUCUGUUCCUUCUACCUGGUGCCUGAGUAAGAACUAGCCAUAAGACCACAAGGCCACCUUGCCUUUGAUUAGCAUGCUGCGCGUCUCCUUUCCCAGUUAGAGCUCUCACUAGUGUCAACAUUGACAGGAAGAGGUUUUUGAAGAACGAGAAUGUAUUGCAUUUAAGAUCUACCCAGAUAACCAUUUGAAACAUUUCCAAAGGCUAAGACACUAUUUUUGAGAAUAUUUUCUGUGCAUUAAUAUUUCCUUAUGUACAUAUUGGCAUCACUUUUCACACAUGCUAAAGAAUAUUCCCUAUGGAACUAGCAAUUCAAAACUGUUGAGCAAAACCACAUUAGAUAGUGUCAUGAAGAAAACUCCAUGUGGAGUGAAAAAGUUCUCAUCUGUUUCCAACAAUGGAAGCCCUCGUAUUGGUGGCAAUAGGAAAUGUGAAAGUAUUUUGCUAAUUGAAGCUUAUGAGAACACUGAGGCAUGGCUGCCACAAACGAAAUGAUUGAACUUUUUCUUAAAGUUCCCUCAGAACCUUGAAGUUGAGAGAUUGCUGGGGGCAUACCGUUCCUAGCUAGGGCUUCUGAUACUUAUGUUUCUUUCUUCUUUUUCGCUUUCUUUCUUUUUUCUUUCUCUCUCUCCCUUUUUCUCUUUCUUUUUCUUUUUCUUUCUUUCCUCUCUCUCUCUCUUUCUUUCUUUCCUCUCUCUCUCUCUUUCUUUCUUUCUUUUCUCCCUGUCUUUCUUAUAUAUGCCAUAUAAUUGGGAUGGGGAACAAACUGCUUAAUUAACAGAAUAAAUAUAAUUAUAUUGAACCUUUUUUAUCACUUGUCAUGUCUACAUGUCUAUGGUUGCCACAUGCUAUAUGGAAAGCGGGGAAAGAAUGAAGAGGUGCUGUCUGCUGUCCUUGGGGAGCCCACAGUCCUGUUGGGCAGCUAAGAUGACAUCCUCACACCCUCAUUACAACAGUCCCUGGUACCAUGCCAUACCCACAACCUGGCACUGGGUAUAUGCUGAUCUGCUGUGGAGGCAGCACUAAAACCCCUUCUCAGAACCGAGAUAACCAUCAAGUAAUCUAAUGACUAGAGCUGAGGGAGAAUCCUUAUCCAGGAUACACGGACUGAGACCGGGAAAGGAGAGAGUCUUCAGAAGGAAACGUGCCUGUUGCUGGAAGGAAAACAAAGGGGCUGGAUACAGGAUAAGAAGCCUUCUGGGAGAUAAAGAAGCAUGACAAGACCAUGCAAAUAAUUAUGAAUGGAACCAUACACUAACAAAGUGAAUGGGUCUCCACAUCGUUAAAGCCCCUGAAAGGGUCAAAAAAAUGAGGAGGUCAAAAGUAGACAGCAUCGUCAAUACACUUGGCCAAGGGGUUUUUGCAAUGGAAAAUACCUUUGAAGGACUAAUAGUUGAAUUGGCAUGUUUAAGUCAUUUUGGCAACCAGAACUGCAACCCUGUCUCCUGAAUAAGAUACUGCUGCUCUCGCAGAACAAAAGAACCGUUAACAACACCAACUAACCCGUGUAAUUCUCAUUUAUACAUUUUUAUUACCUUCCAUAUACUCUAUGUGAUACAUUACCCAUUCCAUUAAUUGUUAACAUACACGCAAGUCAAGAUCUUUUAUUAUGCGAGGUCAUCAGUCAGUGAUAACAGAGAUAUUGAUGAAUUAGUCUCCUCAUCAGAAGUUGAGCAACAUUUCCAUUCAAGAUGAUACAUGGACCUUUAAAACAUACUCAAUAAUAUUGAGUCUCAGUCUUCUGUUGCUUUUUUCUGAAUGUGCAUUUAGACCUUUACACAUCUAUUUAGUCAUCCAUUCAUUAAACAUUCAGCAUUAAUUUUCUACUCAUAGCACCAGAACCGUGUUUGUCUUAUUCACCAUUGUACCCUUACUGCAAGGACCUAGAACAUAGUAGGAUCUCAAUAAAUUCUUAGGAUUCAAAAUAAAUGAAUGAGGAUGUGGUAGGAAGAAUUCUAACAUGGCCCCCAUGACAUUCAUCUCCUGAUGUUACUCUGUUAAUAAUGUUACCUUACAUGGAAAAGGGGUCUUGAAGAUGUAACUAAGGCUAAUAAUUAGUCAACCUUAAGACAGGGAGAUUAUGUGGAUUAAUUUUGUGUAUUAAUCAAUUUUACAUAAAAAUUUUAAAGUCAGAGAGAUAAGCAUGUAAACAUCUCUAGAUAAGAGCCCAGCUCAGCUGAUGUCUUGAUUUCAAUCUUGUGAGACCUUAAGUGCAGAACCCAGUCGAGCCCACCUGGACUUCUGACUUACAGAGCAGUGAUAUAGCAAGUGUGUGUUCUUUUGCUAAUAAAUUUGUGACAAUUUGUUACCCAGCAAGCCUAGGUAGCUAAUACAGGGGGAUUUGGGGAGGAUGGUAGUAACGGUGACAGUGUAAUAUUUUAAUCUUGCCUUACAUUAAAAACAAACAUAGCAACUAAAUAGAAAAAAACAAAACUCAUGGACAACAUCGAAUUAAAAAAAAGGCAGGUAACAAAGCAUAUCUACAAACCUCAUAUUUCAAGCCGGAGGGUAGGGAUGAGAGCCCCAAGUCCCCACGGGUCAAACUCUGCCCAGAGGAAGCAGAGGUUAGAAAUGGAGUGCCCAGAUUUGAGAAUAGGAGAAACCUUAAAUAGCCAAUAGGAACUUACUGGGAAACAGUGGACCAGCUGAGGUGGCAGGCAAAGAUGGGGCUGCCAUGACCACUCUAAAAGCUGGUGAGUGUAAGAGGCCAGUGUGAGUCCUGAAAGGGGCAGGAGCUGUCCAGGCCACAGGAGCCCUCAGUGACAACAGCCAAAGCCCCCUGCCAGGACCAGGCUCCAUACUGAGAAGAAGCUCCUGGAAAGAGAAUCCAAAUUAAAGGUAGUAAAUAAAAGUAUAGAGUCGGGGGAGUUUGGAAUAACAGCCAGAGAAAUCUUAGAAAUUAAGCCACCAUUUGUGAAUACUAUAUGAAAACAGAUGAGGAAGCUCUAUGUGAUUAGAAAAAGAGAUAUACCUAAUGUAAA